GAGCACGUAGGUGGGUUUGUGAGUCAGAUGUGAAAGCCUUCUGUUCAACGGAAGAAUUGCAUCUGAAACUGCGAGUCUUGAGUGUAGGAGGGGAGAAUGGAACUUCUGGUGGAGCGGUGAAAUGCGUAGAUAUCAGAAGGAACGCCGGCGGCGAAAGCGAUCCUCUGGCCUAUUACUGACACUCAGUGUGCGAAAGCUAGGGGAGCAAACGGGAUUAGAUACCCCGGUAGUCCUAGCCGUAAACGAUGGGCACUAAGUAGAGGGGUUUU
rnacentral:rRNA from 1 species